CCUACGGGUGGCAGCAGUGAGGAAUAUUGGUCAAUGGGCGCGAGCCUGAACCAGCCAAGUAGCGUGAAGGAUGACUGCCCUACGGGUUGUAAACUCUUUUUAUAAAGGAAUAAAGUGAGGCACGUGUGCACUUAUGUAUGUACUUUAUGAAUAAGGAACGGCUAACUCGGUGCCAGCAGCCGCGGUAAUACGGAGGAUUUGAGCGUUAUCCGGAUUUAGUGGGUUGAAAGGGAGCGUAGAUGGGUUGUUAAGUCAGUUGUGAAAGUUUGCGGCUCAACCGUAAAAUUGCAAUUGAUACUGGCAGUCUUGAGUACAGUUGAGGUAGGCGGAAUUCGUGGUGUAGCGGUGAAAUGCUUAGAUAUCACGAAGAACUCCGAUUGCGAAGGCAGCUUACUAAACUGCCACUGACAUUGAUGCUCGAAAGUGUGGGGAUCAAACAGGAUUAGAUACCCUUGUAGUC
rnacentral:rRNA from 1 species